UUUACAAAAAAUCAUCCAAUAUGCUGAGAGUGGCCAGCCUAACUGCUAAUUUCUCACUAUUAAAUAUAAAUUUCUGCUGACUGCUUUUUUGUUUCGGUUUUUGAUGUUUGGUCUUGAUAAUAAAGUUUGUUCAAUAAUUUUUACUUUUUAGUUGUUAAUUUAUUAUUAUUCUUUCCAUGUUGCUUGAGGCUGAAUUAUGUCAACGUAUUAACCAGGCGUUUGUGGUGGUGUCAUGUGACUGUAGUUGAGGAUCAUCCCUCCAUCAUCAGGAGGUGACGGCUGAUCAUCAAGUGUUAGAUGAAGAGUAACAAUGAAUCAGGUUAAGGUAAACCCAUUGCUCAUGACUUCAUCGGUAGGGAUCUUUUUUUUAAUUUUUUCAUACUUUAUUCAUACAAAUCAAUAAAUUACCAAACUAAGUUACCUAUUAUUGAAUUAGUUGUCCGAUAGUGAGUUUCAUCAUGAUUGGUCCAGCUGUUACAGAGGUUAUCUGUUACAGACAGACGGACAAUAAUGAAAAUGAAUGAUCGAAGUAAAAAGCUGUCAUUUUAUUAUAGCAAACAGACGCUACCGUUUCAUUAGGAUAAAUGUAUAGUUUUAUGACAUUUGAUGUGAAAUAAAAAUAUUUUUGAUAUAAAA